UUCGGGUUUAGCGGCGGACGGGUUAGUAACGCGUGGGAACGUACCUUUUGCUUCGGAAUAGCCUCGGGAAACUGGGAGUAAUACCGAAUGUGCCCUUAGGGGGAAAGAUUUAUCGGCAAAAGAUCGGCCCGCGUCUGAUUAGAUAGUUGGUGGGGUAAUGGCCUACCAAGUCUGCGAUCAGUAGCUGGUUUGAGAGGAUGAUCAGCAGCACUGGGACUGAGACACGGCCCAGACUCCUACGGGAGGCAGCAGUGGGGAAUCUUAGACAAUGGGCGCAAGCCUGAUCUAGCGAUGCCGCGUGAGUGACGAAGGCCUUAGGGUCGUAAAGCUCUUUCGCCAGGGAUGAUAAUGACAGUACCUGGUAAAGAAACCCCGGCUAACUCCGUGCCAGCAGCCGCGGUAAUACGGAGGGGGUUAGCGUUGUUCGGAAUUACUGGGCGUAAAGCGCACGUAGGCGGAUUAGAAAGUUGGGGGUGAAAUCCCAGGGCUCAACCCUGGAACUGCCUCCAAAACUACUAGUCUAGAGUUCGAGAGAGGUGAGUGGAAUUCCGAGUGUAGAGGUGAAAUUCGUAGA
rnacentral:rRNA from 1 species